GGCCAGGACAUCACAGUGAGUGGACGUGUGCUGCGAGCUGCUGCCCUGUGUGGGUAAUCUUCGUCAGGGUGAGGCAGCGCAAAGCAGGGAGCUGCAGAUGGAAGGUCUCACAAUGGUGGUCGUCGCACGAGGUUUUAGAUGCGCUGUGAAAGGGUUAACUUCAAGAAUAAGCAGAUCAGAAUCUCUGGGCGCCACGUAUUUCCUGCGCGGGGAGCAGCUGUGAAGGGACUCCACCACCUCAGUCGCACCUUUGAUCCACCUCGCUACUAAUUAACAGGCAACUACCUUCCCCGUCCCCUCCCCUCCCAGCCGUGAGGUGCCCUAAUUGCCCACCACUUUGUUAUGAUCACCAUCGGACAGGAAACAAACAGCGGAGAAAACAGAAUGUUAGAAACAUACGUGUGUGUGUGUGUGUGUGUGUGUGUGUGUGUGUAAAUAUGCUUAUGUACGAACAUAGUGGCCUAUACUGAGUACUGAGUUUUCCUAGCGUGAAUAUGUCACAGAUAAGCAGCAACUUUGACUGGGUUCAUUUGCUUCUAGUUAUGGUGUUGUAGUGAAUCAUGUUAUAUGAAAACUACCAAAUGACUGUUGUGAAACGGACCGAGUGUCUCGAAACUUGUGUCUCUCCCAGCCAAUCCCGUGGCACCGCUCCCACUACCGCCACUCUCUUUUCUCAUACCAAGGCGGGUGGCCUCACAAUCUAUUAAACUGCAAGUACGUGAAUAUUAUGUCAAAAUGUGGCAAUUAUUAUAAUGUAUUCAUAUUCACGUGAACACAGAGUACAGUGAUUAAAUAUUUAUGUAUUUGCAUGUUCGCGACAAAGCCCCAUCAAACCAUGUCCUCUACCAUCUGAGCAGUAAUUAUUAUUCUGCAACCCCAAAUCGAGGUAGUGCAUCUACGAGUCCACACCGUCAGCAAGCAUAAGUAGUAUUUGACCUAGUUCCCGUCAGACUCCAUGUUGUCAUUGUGGAGACUCGGCUAUUAUGUUAGGCAUCUUUAUUCAGUAAUGGAGUGUGUUAAAGGCCUCUCCUAGUGACCAAAUUAUAGACUAAUGGUUCGUUACCGCUCCUUGGUGGCAAUUUUUCUGUAAUCAUAGCUAAUAUUACAUUUCGCGUUGAUGGUGACCUUCCUGUUACACUAGUGGCUCGUGGUUGUGGCGGUAAUGAUGGUCAAAUACGAAACUUUACGUCCACAAUAGGUUUGCGUGAGGGCUGCUGUUGCGUUGGGAACUGGACUGAGGGUUCUGUCCUGUCACCCCACUCUUCUCCUAAUAUGCAUCAAUUAUCUUCUAAACCAAACUUCUUGCCCUGUCCACUCCUACGCUGAUGACACCACCUUGCACUUUUCCCCGCCUUUAAGU